AUUCUGCAGUCCUGAGUCACGGUCAUGAGGAGAAGAGCUGUAACACUGUGAUACAGAAUUUCCAAUCUCUAACCUGAGCAGACUGGCCUGCUCAUCAGCGUGGUCGCAGGGCGGCUCAAAUCCCAGCUUGGAUGCUUCAGGGUCACAGCCUUCAUCAGCUCCACCAGCAGAACCCUUGUCAGCUCCUGAGCCAACAUCCAAAUGCUUUCCUAACGCUUGGCUACCUUAGAGAACAGCAAUGCUGAACCCUGAGAAGCAAUCAGAGGAUAACAACAGCAACCCAAUUGCAGCCCAUGUGAAGUCAGAACUUCAUGUCACGGCGCAUCCAGGGACUUCCCAGUGCAGAAUGCUCUCCUGCUCAAAUAUUCACAGACAGGAUUUCUUUGUAAGUCCUUUCAUCAAUGCAGUGGCAUUUGACGAGUCGUCAUCUCUCCCUUUGCAAACAAACCUGGGCUUAUCAAACAAACGCUGCACGUUUGUGACUUCUUUCCCUUCUGGGACAACCCACAUUGCUGCAACGAGGCCAGCUCUGGGGACAGCUGGGGCAUAAAGCUCUUCUCAGCACGCUGCCCAACACUGUCAUGAAAACAUGGGGCUGCUUCUACACCAGGAUGUUUUAUUCUGUGCAGAUUAGGGCUGGUGGUUGGCACUUUAAGCAAUGCUUUGUUUGUCUGUGCUUUGUGUUGCAGCUUCAGUGGCACGUUACAGCUGUGCAACCUGACAUGGUGUUUCAGUACAUCUCCUCUCUGAGCUCCACGGAUUCAGUUUUUGGGAGGCGUUCUGUCCCACCCUGCUCAUGCUAAUUGGCCUGUUUGCUAUCUAUUCUAUUAAACUAUGAAAAAAAGUUCAGCUUUUCCACAACAAAGACAAAUUUUACUCUACCAACGCACAGCAAAGAGCUGUAGCACACCUGAAUGGCCUCACUGCUGCAGCCAGGCAGUGAUCUGCAGCCAACAGCCCAGGAACUCAGGGUAAAACAAGAACCAGAGAGAUGGGCAUCUCCUCCUGGAUCCCAAAGGAGCCCUCUUUGAGUUCUGGAGGGCUCCUGUGAUGCAGUCAGACAAUCAGUUUCUGACCAAUAAACAGCAGAAACACAAAUACA
rnacentral:lncRNA from 1 species